GACCCUGUAGUUCAAUGGAUAGAACAUCAGAUUUCGGCUCUGAGGAUGAGGGUUCGAAUCCUUCCAGGGUCACAA
rnacentral:tRNA from 1 species